UCUUCAUCUAAUUUUAUCUUCUAACGACUUUCUUAACCCUAUAUCAAUCUGUACUAACCCUAACUACACUUUUGUUUUCAAAAGGCUUCCUGCAGUCUUAACUAAUCAGGAAAAUAUCUUCAGCAAGUCAUGUGCCCAAUCUUCUAGCAAUGAACUAGCCACUCCUGUAGGUGUUUAAAAUUUCAAAGCAACAACAAAACUUCAAUAAUAUCAAUUAACUUGUUGUAAAGACCGGAUCCACUUCACUUAUACAUUUUCCAUAUUUCCCAAAGAUUUCAAUUUGAUCUUAAUGGAAAGAAAUUGUCUGUUGUUUUCAUCAAUAUUCCAUAUUUUGAUAAAAGACCUUCACAUGAAGAUGGAGCUCUCCAAAUUUAAUUUUAGUCAUGAAAAGCCGUUACAAUACAAGUACAGAAUCUCUUGUAAGAAAGCUGAAGGUUUUUCACUCCAAAGAUUGUCGCUUGGAGUUACACCAUUCAUCAAAUGUAGCCUGAUUUACAGGCUGUAAUAAUAUUUAAAAUCUUUAUUCCGUUCAGUGUGAACAUUCAUAGAUUUACCAGUCAUUUGGUAUGGAGAUGUCUUGCUUAAUGUAGAUCUCCCCAUUAUCCUAAGCUAGCAAGUCAUAUUUUCCUCUUAUAUAUAGUAAGCUGGUUACAACGUGCAUGUACUUUACUAGGCCUCUGGAUUCACUUUAAUUCUAUGCCUAUCUGUUCAACCUACGAAAGGGAUUUUUAUUUCAAAGUCGUGCGUAUAUCGACUGAAGCAGUUUCAGCAUGCGAGACUUAUAUUCAAGGAUAUGGCCUAUGAAUAUAUUGUACUACUAUUUCCAAAAUCCAAAACGUGCCUGCUACUAAAGGUUUCGGACGAGCAAUGGUGUACCUGUAUCAGCACAAUAACAACACAGAAAAAAUUUCACGUUAUCCGAAACUAAGAAUUUCAGGCGAAACUUUCUGUCGAAUGAAGAACGAAAGAAAACUUAGCCUGUAGACCACGUGACUUGAUUUCAUAUAUAACACCGCCAUCUUAGUCUCUGGCCAUGCUUUUACCGAUUCCUCGUGGACGGCGUUAGAAUUAUUUAGCAGUUGAUGUUUCUGAUUGAUACUAAGAAUGGGUAGUUAUUCAGGAGAAGAAAUGUAUUAAGGAUAUAUGACAGGCGAAGUAAACUGGUUAGAUUUUAAAGUCGGUGCCCUUAAAUCCAAAAAUUUAUGCGGAGGAAUUCAGUACCAAAGAAAAAUACUUUUGUUCACUUUUUGCUAUGUCUACGUUGUUUAACAGACAUAUUUCCAUUUGAAAGAAGACUUUCUGCAGAGGAUACUGCAAGUCUGCUGUGUUAGGGUAGAAAGAUUUAUCAACCAAUUAAUGUCUUCAGAAUAAAAGAAUAAAACUGAAAAUUAACUGAGAGAAUGUUUCACAAAGUCAGCAAAUGUUACAAAUGUGGUAUUUGUGGUAAAGUACUUACUACAAAAUAUAAUUUAGCUAUUCAUAAGCGCAUUCAUAUUGGGGAGAAGUUAUACCACUGUGAAGUAUGUGAGAAGGCAUUUUCUGUAAAAGCUUAUUUAACAGAACACAAACAUAUACAUACAGGAGAGAAACCGUUUCACUGCGAAAUAUGUGGAAAAUCAUUUUCUCAUAAAGGUUACGUAAAGAUACACAAACGUGUUCACACUGGAGAGAAACCAUACAAUUGCGAAAUCUGUGGCAAAGCAUUUUCAGAUCUUAGUAGUGCAAAAAGUCAUCAACUUAUUCAUACUGGAGAAAAACCAUUUCACUGUGAAAUAUGUGGAAAAUCAUUUUCUUAUAAAGGUUACUUAAAGAUUCACAAACGUACACACACAGGAGAGAAACCAUUUCAUUGUGAAAUCUGUGGUAAAGCAUUUUCACAGUUCAAUGGCGUAAGAAGUCAUCAGCUUAUUCACACUGGAGAAAAACGAUACCAUUGUGAAACCUGUGGCAAACCGUUUUCUCGACUUGGUAAUUUAAAAACGCAUAAACAUACUCAUACUGGGGAGAAGCCAUACAGGUGUGAUGAUUGUGGGAAAGGUUUUUCAACUGCAAGUGCCUGUGAAAUACACAGAGGUGUGCACUCAAAACCUUACCACUGUGAAAUCUGUGAUAAAGCAUUUUCUGUAAAAUACUCUUUAACAAUACACAAACGUCUUCACACUGGAGAGAAGCCAUAUCACUGUGAAGUAUGUGGGAAAGGAUUUACAAACAGAGGUACCUUAAUGAAGCAUAAACAUAGUCACACAGGAGAAAAACAACACCACUGUGAAAUCUGUGGGAAAGCGUUUCCUCAAAAAUAUUGUCUAAUAUUACACAAACGGAUUCACACAGGAGAGAAACCAUAUCACUGUGAGGUUUGUGGAAAAGACUUUGCUGGUAAGUGCAACUUAGUAAAUCACAAACGUAUUCAUACUGGGGAAAAACCACAUCACUGUGAAGUCUGUGGCAGAGCAUUUUCGCAAACUGGUAGUUUAAAACGACACAGACGUACUCACACAGGAGAGAAACCAUAUCACUGUUUAAUAUGUGGGAAAGAAUUUUCACUUAAGACCAGCUUAACAACACAUAACCGUAUUCAUACUAGACAAAAGUCACUGUAAUAUGAAAUUUGUGGGAAAGCAUUUUCAGAAAAAUUUGUCCUAUUGGUACAUAAACUUACUCAUACUGGAGAAAAACCAUAUCAUUGAAGUUUGUGACAAGGAAUUUUCCAAUAGUGGCAGCUUAAAAGGACAUAUACACACUGGGGAAAAACCACACCACUGUGAAAUCUGUGAUGGCUUGACUGAGAACUGGUAAGCUGGGUGGUUGCACCAGGCUCCAAUCUGAUUUGGCAUGGUUUCUAUGGUUGGAUGCCCUUCUUAAUGCCAACCACUCCGAUAGUGUUGUGGGACCUUUUUACUUGACGCCGGCAUGAGUACCAGUGAGGCAGCACAGGCAUUAGCCUUACUCGAUGCUUCUUUAUGUGUGUGUGUCUUGUAUUACCUCCUCACUGUCACUUGACAACCAGUGUUGGUUGGUUUAUGUCACCAUAACUUACAGUACCAAUAAAGAAACCAAGUGAAUAAAUACUAGAUUUGCAAAAGGCUGUACCCCAGCAUGGCCACAUUCCACUGAUGGAAAGAGGAAAAAGAUUAAUGGAAGUGGUUCCAUUUCAACUAAAACUAUAAUUACGUGAAACAUUAAUACUGAGUGGAAAUAUUCCAAUGACCCUGGGCCCAUGGCAGUACCUCCAACAGAGUAUUACUUAAACACUGUCCCAAAUAAUUGGAAUACUUUUUGGACAUAUUUUCAUUGGAAAGAAGAUUUUCUGCAGAGGAUACUGAGAGUCUGCUCUGUUAGGGUAGAAAGAUUUAUCAACCAAUUUAUGUCUUCAGAAUGAAAGAAUAAGACUGUGAAAAUUAAC
rnacentral:misc_RNA from 1 species